AAUUAAACGAAGUAAUCGCAGCUUCUGGCCGUAUUGAAUGCUGCAACUCGGAAUAUUCGCAACCUUUGCCUGUCGACUUUGCUGCAAUUCUAAGGAAGAUUUUUCGCAAUAUUCGAUUCUCAAUCUCAUCUUCUCAAACCACCACAGAUCUAGAAUUUCAAGAGAAAGGUUUUCGAAUCUCCAUAGCCAUGGCUCCUUCUACACAAAUCUUUCCUACUCGCUCCUUCCUCUUUAUCUUUGUUCCUUCGCCAGCCAUAGCACGCGUUUGUGAGAUAGGUAAACUUGUAGUGUUUCGACUUUGUGUCAAAUCGUCAUUCAUGUCUACAGAGAAAUAAAGGUGGGGCGGAAGAGAGAGGAAGAUGCCGAAGUUUUCUUGUUCAAACAAACAAAUUCGCCAGCCACCGGUCGGGUUUUCUUGUUCCUUUUCAACAUCCGCCGCCGGCAACACCGCACCCCUCCAAUUCAAGCCCUUAAAUUGCAGAUAAGUAGAGAUAGAAGGAGCUAGGGUUUUGCGGUACUUGCUUAGGAGAGUGCACUAGCAAUGUGUUGUCUGAAAAUCGUCCACCAUCAGAAUGGUAGACAACUACUUUGAGGUCGAGGAAAGAAAAAGCUCGAAGAUUAGGAAAUAAAAGCUGAGCAAAAUCAAAUGAAUUAGGGAUUCCAAAUCGAGGCUCGUGUUGUUGGACUCAAAGUCCUCACCCCAUCUGCAAGGGGAUGAUUGACGGAGCAUUUGUACAGAAGUUGAUAUAUUAGCUAUAUGUGUAGAGAGAUAUUAUGUGAUUCAUGAAGGUUAGAGGAUACAUUAAUCGAACUUUAUCUGUCGGGCAAUCCAAAUACAACAUCUGAAGUUGUUGAUAACCAGCAGCUUCCGAAGGAAACAGAUGACGAAGAUGGUUUUAUGUUGACAACUGAUGGAAACAGCAAACUCUACGAGCAGGAAGAUGCCGAGUUGAGUUUGGACCAGCACGCUGCAACUGAUUCAAGUACCAGUGUCUUCCAUGAAGGGUUAUGUACAAAGAGAAAUGCCAUACUCUAAUGAGGAGUUUGAAGAAACUCGAGAACAAUGGGCAAAGUAUUUUAAGAACAACUAUUUGAUGGAUGCCGGCGAAUGAGUUUGUUGUCUAGUAAUAUUAUGUUUUAUGUUUUUGUUAUGUGUUGGAUAUGACGUUGGAUGCUACUUGGAGCAUAUAUAUGGUUGUUGGAACAUAUAUGUAUGUUAUGUCUUAUA